GAAAUAUCAUGCUAGACCAUUUAAUAGCAUACACCGGAAAGCAACAUUUUUUGAUUUCAUAUUUUAAACUGAGAACAUCAGUAAAUAUUUUCAGCCACUAGAAGAGUUCUCUUUAUGAAUAUCCAGUAGGCUUGUAUAUUGUGGAGCUGCUUCCCUGCUCUCAGCCACUUCCUGUUGCAUCGGAUCUCCAGAAGACUACAGAGCUUUCCAUGGGACAACUGUGACAUGGCCCUGAAUAGCCAGGAAUCCACUGCUAAGAUUUCAGCAAGUCUUAUGGCUGAGUCCAUCAGAGUCAUGACAUGAAGAUACCAGUCACAGCACUGCAAUGUGCAAUAAAUGCUAGUUCUUUUCUUUCCUUCAUAUCAAGUCAAUUUAAGUUUGCUCU